GGAGGAACAGUGGCUCAGUGGUAGAGCAUCUGCUUGAAAAGCAGAAGGUCGCAGGUUCAAUCCCUGGAAUCUCCA